rnacentral:tRNA from 1 species
UGCCCCAUGGUGUAACGGUAGCACAUCAGAUUCUGGUUCUGCUUGUCUGGGUUCGAAUCCUAGUGGGGCAACAA